rnacentral:rRNA from 1 species
GUGAGGAAUAUUGGUCAAUGGGCGGGAGCCUGAACCAGCCAAGUCGCGUGAAGGAAGAAGGAUCUAUGGUUCGUAAACUUCUUUUGCAGGGGAAUAAAGUGCAGGACGUGUCCUGUUUUGUAUGUACCCUGAGAAUAAGGAUCGGCUAACUCCGUGCCAGCAGCCGCGGUAAUACGGAGGAUCCGAGCGUUAUCCGGAUUUAUUGGGUUUAAAGGGUGCGUAGGUGGUUUGAUAAGUCAGCGGUGAAAGUUUGCAGCUUAACUGUAAAAAUGCCGUUGAAACUGUCGGACUUGAGUGUAAAUGAGGUAGGCGGAAUGCGUGGUGUAGCGGUGAAAUGCAUAGAUAUCACGCAGAACUCCGAUUGCGAAGGCAGCUUACUAAGCUACAACUGACACUGAAGCACGAAAGCGUGGGGAUCAAACAGGAUUAGAUACCACGGUAGACC